UUGAUCUCAAAUCAGGUAGGACUACCCGCUGAACUUAAGCAUAUCAAUAAGCGGAGGAAAAGAAACUAACAAGGAUUCCCCUAGUAACUGCGAGUGAAGCGGGAAGAGCUCAAAUUUAAAAUCUGGCGUGCCUCUGGCCGUCCGAGUUGUAGUCUGGAGAAGCGUUUUCCGUGUUGGACCGUGUAUAAGUCUCUUGGAACAGGGCGUCAUAGAGGGUGAGAAUCCCGUCUUUGACACGGACUACCAAUGCUUUGUGAUGCGCUCUCAAAGAGUCGAGUUGUUUGGGAAUGCAGCUCAAAAUGGGUGGUAAAUUCCAUCUAAAGCUAAAUAUAGGCGAGAGACCGAUAGCGAACAAGUACCGUGAGGGAAAGAUGAAAAGCACUUUGGAAAGAGAGUUAAACAGUACGUGAAAUUGCUGAAAGGGAAACGCUUGAAGUCAGUCGCGUCUGCCAGGACUCAACCUCGCUUCUGCUUGGUGCACUUUCUGGUUUGAUGGGCCAACAUCAAUUUUGACCGUCGGAGAAAGGCUUUGGGAAUGUGGCACCUUCGGGUGUGUUAUAGCCCUUUGUUGUAUACGACGGUCGGGAUUGAGGACUGCAGCACGCCUUUAUGGCCGGGGUUCGCCCACGUACGUGCUUAGGAUGUUGGCAUAAUGGCUUUAAGCGACCCGUCUUGAAACACGGACC
rnacentral:rRNA from 1 species